ACAAAAACACGUAAAAUAGAACAACUUAAAAUAGAAACUUUAUAGAGACACAAAAAAUCAACUUGACGAAAAAACUAAAAUCUAAUUUAAGAUAUUGUAAAAAUGUUCAUAUAUACGAAUUUUCCAAUCAGGAAUUCAAAAUUAUGUGACAUUUCCGACUAAACUACAUGUUAAACAUGUCCAUCACCAAAAAGAAAACAUAAAACACACCAUCAGGAAUCAAAAAAUUACCAUCGUUUUUACCGUGUAACCCCAUAAACCAUAACGAAAAAUCACAUUCAAAUCGAACCUCAUUUCGACUCCCACUCACUGCGAUAUACCAGCGCAGCGCGGGACCAUCACAAAUAGUACAUAUUUUCGAAGAAAACAAUAAUAAUAACAUUGAAAAAGGGAAAAUUCAAAAAAAAACAAAACGAUAGAAAAUCUAAAACAUUUUCUAGUAAACUCGCCAUGCAUCUGCCAACUCAUGUCCCGCUGUUGUCUUUCACCAAAACAGAAAUACUGUCCACCAGAAUCGGCGGCUAUAGUGCAUAUACAGUUAGAACAACCACCACUUGGAAAACGAACAAACCUACACAGCCACAAGUUCACAGCAUGUGCUAUAUUUUGGGGCCAACAUACACAAAUAGACAAUCUCAUAUCGCCACAUAGAGAAUCACCGAUGUUGUUGUGCCUCUCUGACUCCGAGCAAGACGACAAAACUGUGUUCAAUAGCUAGCGACAUCCCCCGAAAAAGUUCUACCACUGCUACUGCUACCAAAUGGAACGUCGUCGUAGUCGUUGUCGUUUUCGUUGUCGUCGUCGACGAGACCGAGACCAAGGCGACCGAUUCAUAUUGAAUCUUGGAGUGGAGCCAGUUGUUUGCGAAUUGUUUGCCAGUGCAGUGUUGUGCCGCUUCUGGCACAGGCAGGCAACGUGCGGUGCCACCAAUCGUGCCUUCGGGCACGAUUGAGACGCAUCCAAGAAAAAUUACGCCCGACAACCAAAAAAAAAAUAAAAACCUUAACGUAAAAAAAAGAACAUCAAAAUUCUUAAACGGAUCGGGCCAGCCAACAAACCAUCCGACCAUCUGAAGUUCUCUCGGGCCGUCGUCGUCAUCGACAAAAAAAAAGUAAAACAUAUUUUGGACGGUGUCUCGUAACUUGGCCACUGAUUCAGAAACUCAUCAUCAUCAUCACCAUCAGCAGCAGCAGCAAUAGUAGCAGUACCAGCAGAAGCGAAAUAUACUUCUGAUGGCCAAGUCCAAGAGUGUCUCCUUCCAUUGGCAUCGGCGGCAUCACCAUCGCCAACCAUUACUUUCGACCUUCGAACAGGAGAAGGAGACAUUUUUCGUUGUUCAUUGGUCCACCACCACAUGAUGACAACGAUAAUGAUUCUUGGAGAUGCUGCUGGUGGUGGCCAAAUCCAAGAUGUUGAUGGCCAACAUUUCACCUCAUUCAGAGCCAACUGGAUUUUUAUCCUUAUGGUUUUGCUUCCAUUUUGCUUCCGGCUUCAAACAACAGGUUGAAGAGAAGACAAUGAUGACGAAGGAAGUUGGAAUUUCAAUUGUUUUACCAUCAUCAUUGGCAUUUAAAUAAAAUAUACGUCCGUCUCGAUCAUACAGCUUAGCUCCUUCCAUCCACAGAGCUAAAGUGUCAACGAUAUACCAAAGGAAACCCCAAAUUCCCUCAUCGUCAUCGUCGUCGUCGUCAUCAUCAGUACCACCAUCAGUCAAAGGUGGAAGGCAUCAGUAGCGUCAUUCGUCGUCGUCCCAUCAAAAGAAUGCCAGCGAGUGGAACGUUUGUUGCGUUAUCGUGUCGGUCGUGGGCCAACUGGCUAAUACCCAAAAAAACAAUAAAACACACAAAAAAAGGAAACUCUUCUUGUUUUGUGCCUGGGCCGAAAACGACAAUGUCACCAUCAACAUCCUCAUCAUCAUCACCAUCACCAAGAAACCAGGAACGAGGCCAAUUAUUGUUAUUGGAGUGGACGACACGUCGUCGUUUGUAUCCUAGAAAUGCGUCCAUUCUUUCAUCGGUGGAUGGAUGAUGAUGAUGAAGAAAAACGAAGACCAACCGUCAUCGAGUGUCCAUAUCUUAUUCAAAGACGUCGUCGUCUUCGUCGUUUUCAACGUAGUUCGACGAGAAGUCCCAACAAGGACCUGUGUAACAUCGCAUCUUCUAACAUCUUGCACCUUAAACGAGAAAUGGAUUUAGUGUCAUUUUGUGGUGUGCGCGAAGAAUAAAAAAUAAACUUUAAAUAUAAAACAGUUACAUAGUAGUGAAUAAUCGUUAUUUUUAAGAAUAUUACACAAAAUAUUACUUGAAAUAGUUUAAAACUUAAAAUUAACAAAGAAAACAAACACAUUAAGUUUAGUGUUAAAAGUUGCUGCUAGUUUAAAGAAAAAAAUAAUAACAAAAACAAAAUAUUUUAUCCACAAAAUAUACAGUAAAAUAAAAAAAGGGAUAAACAUAAAUAAAUAAUAUUAGUGAUUAAUUUUUAAAUAAAUUCUAAACAAGAAUAAAUAAACAACAAAAAAACUUUAAGUUAUAAAAUGCUGAUGAAUCGAAGCAAUAGUAGUGGAAAAGUUUUUAAAACUUCAUCAAAUUUUAAACAUCGUGAAUCAAUGCAGCCGAAUGACUCCGACAAAAAUACAAGGCAUUCAUUUGCCAAUGAAUUUAUCCAAAUCUCCUGCCAACUUCAUUGGCUGCUUUCUGGGCCUGACCAACCCUACAGCAGUAGCAACAACAAAAAACCGAUGCGCACAAAAAUGCAUUUCAACAACCAUCCCAAAAACACCACUUCCAUCGUGCCGUGCUGAGGACUCACGCGUACUUGUGGACGAUGAUGAUGUCUCGAAGCGCAAGAGUCCACAUUCCACAUACGCCUGACUCUUCAGCAUUCUAUAUACGUGGCAGUGGUUAGCAUUGGACAGAAGUUUUGUGCAUUUUUGUUGUUCGUCGGCGUCGCCUUUGAAUUGAAUUUGGCAGGACAUUUCGAUAGAGGGAUAGAGCGAGAAACACCUAGUGUAUAAGUUGUAGAAGGAGAAGGAUUUUGGAGGGACACACAAUAAUGCAGUUCACCUAUUGGAUGCAAGAACCAGAGAGGGUUAUUUUGUUGUGUUGUUAACCGAACAAAACGAACCAACCCUUAGCUACUUGAAUUUAAUUAACCAACAUAUGUACAAUUGUGGAAGUCCUUUCUUAUGAAUAUGUAUACCAAAGGAGUCACUUUAUGCUGCAUUAUAAUUUGCGAUAGAAAUAACAGUUUUAUAUAUUUUUAUUUGGCAAGAUUCAAGGCUCCACAGCACUGGAUGAUAGUUUUUGUUUAGCAGACUAAGACAAAGUCUCCAGCCUAAGGACUCCUUAUUAGCUGCAUUU